UCGUGUUCUUGAAUUUGGGUGCAUUGCAAAUGACUGAGUGGAAGUAACCUUCUUGGGAUAACUUAACAUUUGUAAAAUACAUCAGGAGUGUUCGAGGUAGAUUAUCCCAGCCGAAAAGGCAAAACUCCAGGAAGGAUCGGUUCAAGAUGACCCAUUAUUUGCCUGUGAAAAGUUUGAACGCAUUAGGUGUCUCCCGCUUCUGUGUAGCUUGAAA